rnacentral:misc_RNA from 1 species
CGCGCAUCGAAUCAAGGGAAGCGUGCCGGUGCAGGCAAGAGACCACCGUAAGCGUCGUUGCAACCAAAUAAGCGCCGAUUCACAUCAGCGCGACUACGCUCUCGCUGCCUAAGCGACGGCUAGUCUGUCAGACCGGGACCGCCCUCGACCCGGACUCUGGCAUCAGCUAGAGGGAUCAACCGAUGAGUUCGGUCGCGGGACUCGUCGGGACACCAACAGCGACUGGGAUCGUCAUCCUGGCUAGUUCGCGUGACCAGGAGAUCCGAGCAGAGGCAUAGCGAACUGCGCACGGAGAAGCCUUGAGGGAAUGCCGUAGGACCCGGGACAUAGCGAACUGCGCACGGAGAAGCCUUGAGGGAAUGCCGUAGGACCCGG